ACUCCCUGCCUCCGCACACGAUCCUCCAAGCCGUGACGCUGCUGCUCCCUUACCUUCAUCGAUUUCUGGCCGCCAAUCUCGAUCCGUUUCGUUUUUUUUUUUUUUUUUUCUUUUACCGGAUUGGAAUUUUUGAAUUUGGGUUUUUGUUUGGGUUUGAUAGGUGCUAAUGGGUUUUUUUGGGUGAUUGCAGAUCUGUUCGGACACGAGGAAACAUAAGGAGACGAUGAGAUAAAGGCUGAGUUUUUGUGCCCCUUUUGCGUGGAAGAUUUUGAGUCGUUGGGCAUUGUGUAAAGAUGCAACCUUUCGAGUGCGUAAAUUGGUGCUUCUAGCAGGCUCUAUAGGCUUCACUGGAUUCCUUUGAGCCACGCCUAUGAAAUUGCUGAACAAGACGCACCCAGAUAAUAAUGGGGAUCGCUUCUCAAGAGGCGAUCAAGCAAUUCCAAGCUUUAAUGGAUCAAGGUACACAUUUUCUCUCUCCGAUCUGUUCUCACCUCACCUUAGAUAUAAAAUGAUAUCUGUAUGCUGUUCCAGUAGAUGGAUUGUUUAAACUGGAGGGUACAAAAUGAGAUUGACAAUAUAUUGGCGGUAAGUUAUUCCUACUCAUGCUUUGCAUAACAUCAUGUUAUUUUUUCAGUGACUUCCAAAUUAACAAUCUUUCUAGCCCCUGUGGUGGUCAAUGAAUGCUGACGUUAUCAGACUCUUAUUCGUCUGUGUAGAAACCCAUAAUUCCAACUGAAUUUUACAGAGGAGUGCAAGACUCACAGCUCAUAGGCCUUUCAGGUUACUCUAGAGAGGUAGUCUUUGGAUUAAGUACAUUUAAUAAAGCUUCUGGAAGUAUUAUGAUUAUGUAGACCAUCUUCUAAGACAACAUUUCCUGAAUUUGAAUUGCGUGCUUCUACCUCUUCACCUUGAUGCUUGGGCUCCUUAUGAAAUAGGUGUUUGUUUUCAUUGCAGUUUCACUACUAAGUGCAGUCACACAUUCAAAUAAAUGAAUAUCGAGAUCAUGUUAUUUUGGUUAGUAUUAGAUCUUGGAGUCUGAAGUUUCUCAAGUCAUUUUCUGAUAUGUGCAUUUGGUUGCAGCCUUCUGCAUCAAAGAAGUAUGGUAAACCUAUCACCACGUGUGUGAAGGUUUUAGAUAUGACUGGGUUGAAGCUUUUAGCACUAAGCCAAAUUAAGAUAUGACUGGGUUGAAGCUUUUAGCAUUAAGCCAAAUUAAGGGACAGAGAUAGAUAUGUACAAUGAGAUCGCCGAUACAGAAAGGGAUACUGCAAGCACAACCCCAGGGAAAUGGUGAAGGUAUGGGCUGAGAAAGAAAAGAGGAAUCUGGACAGGAUGGUGAAAAAUGGAAUUACAUGCCCAACUGCAAUUGAUAUAAAAGAUCAUGUUCUGGUCAUGUUUUGUCUCUUGGAUCUUCUUUAAACAGCAGCCUACAGUUUACUAAUUUCCAGUUUCCAGGUCAUCAGUUGCAUAUAUUUACUUCUACUUAUGGAUGUAGGUUAUGGAGAGCACCUGUGGAUUCCACUUACUCCUAGAUUGGUAGACAUGCUCAGUGAAUAAAGCUAAAGUAAACAAAGCAGGCCCUGAGCCUUUGUUCUCUGUUAAUUAUCUGCAGCAUCUCAGCAAGGAAAAUUUCUGUUCUAGGACACUUUAGGAUGCCGGAAAGGGAUCACUAUCACAUUUGCUUUAGUUAUAGGCAUGGUUAAUGUGCAAUGGACACAUUUUAUGGACAAGUUUAUAUUUUUUGGGUUUAUGUAUUUAUAGGCACCUAGGCAGUGUUAAUUCCUUGUAAAUGUUGGGAUGAAUAUUGCUUAUGGAAUGAAAUGGUUUUUGGAAUUAA